ACCGCCAAGGCGUACAUAAUACCCGAUUCGGCGGAUUCAGUUGACUAAUAUACCAAAGGACGUAGUGUCGUGUUUGCGUAGUUUUUCGUUUAUGCUAUUAAAUCGCGACGAAUAUUAAUUAAUUGGCACCAGAUUAAUGUUAAAGUAAAAGUGGCAAUUAUUACAAAAUAUAAUAUGGUGACAACAAUAUUACGAGGACCACAAUCGUUUAAAAACUUAUGCGGCGAUGAAUAUAAAAUCACUGCAAAUCAAGGUACUUACCAAUAACUGCAGUCACGAGUCAAACCAUAUAUAUUACCAUAUAAAGCUACUGCAGAAAUCGUCACGGUUGAUCCGCGCGCAAUAUUGUCGGACUCAGUAGCGAUUUUGACAAAACUUCUACAAAUAAGACAUGACAAAAAAAAUAUUCGAAAAACAUUGUUUUCAUAUUAUCCUGUUGUCCAACAUAUUACCGUCUAAGCGUAUUUAUGUUUUAUUCUUUUCACCGUCUUUCAAGAUUUUUAUAACAUUUACUUGCUGUUAAUAUAAUAUAGCCAAGAAUUAUUAUUUUUCAUUAUUUAAAUAUUAAACGGAAUUAAUCUUACCCAUCA